GAUGAAGAACGUAGCGAAAUGCGAUAAGUAAUGUGAAUUGCAGAAUUCAGUGAAUCAUCGAAUCUUUGAACGCACAUUGCGCCCGCCAGUAUUCUGGCGGGCAUGCCUGUUCGAGCGUCAUUUCAACCAUCAAGCCCCAGGCUUGUGUUGGGGACCUGCGGCUGCCGCAGGCCCUGAAAACCAGUGGCGGGCUCGCUGUCACACCGGGCGUAGUAGAUUUUAUCUCGCUCAGGGCGUGCUGCGGGUUCCGGCCGUUAAAAAGCCUUUUUUACCCAAGGUUGACCUCGGAUCAGGUAGGAAGACCCGCUGAACUUAAGCAUAUAAAUAAGCGGAGGA
rnacentral:misc_RNA from 1 species